UACGUAGGGUGCAGGCGUUAAUCGGAAUUACUGGGCGUAAAGCGCACGUAGGCGGCUUUGUAAGUUAGAGGUGAAAGCCCAGGGCUUAACCCUGGAAUUGCCUUUAAGACUGCAUCGCUAGAAUUGUGGAGAGGUAAGUGGAAUUCCGAGUGUAGAGGUGAAAUUCGUAGAUAUUCGGAAGAACACCAGUGGCGAAGGCGACUUACUGGACACAUAUUGACGCUGAGGUGCGAAAGCGUGGGGAGCAAACAGG
rnacentral:rRNA from 1 species